rnacentral:rRNA from 1 species
ACACCGGCGAACGGGUGAGUAACGCGUACGGUAAUGCUGCCUGUUGCUGGAGGAUAGCCUGAGGAAACUCGGAUUAAUACUCCAUAAUAUGUUUAUAUUGCAUGAUAUAAACAUCAAAGUAUUGUCGGCAAUAGAGGAGCGUGCGUCCGAUUUAUGCUAGUUGGUAAGAUAAAAGCUUACCAAGGCUACGAUUCGGUAGGGGACCUGAGAGGGUGAACCCCCACACUGGUACUGAGACACCGACCAGACUCCUACGGGAGGCAGCAGUGAGGAAUAUUGGUCAAUGGAGGAAACUCUGAACCAGCUAUGCCGCGUGCAGGAGGAAGGCCUUAUUGGGUCGUAAACUGCUUUUGUAGGGGAAUAAAGUAUUCUACAUUGAGAAUUUUGAAUGUACUCUACGAAUAAGUAUCGGCAAACUCUGUGCCAGCAGCCGCGGUAAUACGGAGGAUACAAGCGUUAUCCGGAUUUAUUGGGUUUAAAGGGUGCGUAGGCGGUUCAUUAAGUCAGUAGUGAAAUCUUGCAGCUUAACUGUUAAAAUUGCUAUUGAUACUGAUGGACUGGAAUUAUAGCGGAGUAGCUGGAAUAUGUGGUGGAGCGGUGAAAUGCUUAGAUAUCACAUAGAACCCCGAUCGCGAAGGCAAGCUACUAGCUAUAUAUUGACGCUGAGGCACGAAAGCGUGGGGAGAGCAAACAGGAUUAGAUACCCUGGUAGUCCACGCUGUAAAAAGAUGAUCACUAACUAUUGGAUCUUCAGUGUAUUCAGUGGUAAAGCGAAAGUGUUAAGUGAUCCACCCUGGGGUAGUACGAUCGCAAGAUUGAAACUCAAAGGAAUUGACGGGGCCCCGCACAAGCGGUGGAGUAUGUGGUUUAAUUCGAUGAUACGCGAGGAACCUUACCAAGGCUUAAAUGCGUUACGAAAUCAACUAGAAAUAGUUUACUUCUUAGGACGGAACGCAAGAUGUUGCAUGGUUGUCGUCAGCUCGUGCCGUGAGGUGUUAGGUUAAGUCCUUUAACGAGCGCAACCCUUGUCGUUAGUUACCAUCAGAUUAUGCUGGGAUCUCUAACGAGACUGCUGACGCAAGUCAGAGGAAGGUGGGGAUAACGUCAAAUCAUUACGACUCUUAUGUCUUGGGCUACACACGUACUACAAUGGUCGGCACAAUGGGUUGCCAUUGAGUGAUCAAGAGCUAAUCUCAAAAAGCCGAUCUCAGUUCGGAUUGGAGUCUGCAACUCGACUCUAUGAAGUUGGAAUCGCUAGUAAUCGCGUAUCAGCUAUGACGCGGUGAAUAAGUUCCCGGGCCUUGUACACACCGCCCGUCAAGCCCAGGAAAUCGGUGGUAUUUGAAGUCGGU